GACAGAGGGUGCAAACGUUGUUCGGAAUUACUGGGCGUAAAGCGCGUGUAGGCGGCCCUGCAAGUCGGGUGUGAAAUCCCACGGCUCAACCGCGGAAGUGCACUCGAAACUGCAGGGCUAGAGUCCUGGAGAGGAAGGUGGAAUGCUUGGUGUAGAGGUGAAAUUCGUAGAUAUCAAGCGGAACACCGGUGGCGAAGGCGGCCUUCUGGACAGUGACUGACGCUGAGACGCGAAAGCGUGGGGAGCAAACAGG
rnacentral:rRNA from 1 species